rnacentral:rRNA from 1 species
UACAGAGGGUGCGAGCGUUAAUCGGAAUUACUGGGCGUAAAGGGCGCGUAGGCGGUUAUUUAAGUUGGAUGUGAAAUCCCUGGGCUUAACCUAGGAACUGCAUACAAUACUGGAUAACUGGAGUGCAGUAGAGGGUAGUGGAAUUUCCGGUGUAGCGGUGAAAUGCGUAGAUAUUCGGAAGAACACCAGUGGCGAAGGCGGCUGACUGGACAUGUAUUGACGCUGAGGUGCGAAAGCGUGGGGAGCGAACAGG